rnacentral:lncRNA from 1 species
GCAGCACCCCCUUUUUUGCAGACAAAGGGGUGUGAACCCACCUGGGGAUGAGGCCUGGUCUUGUGGAAACUGGACUUAGCUUCGCGGGGCAGACAGCUGUGGCCCAGGGUGGUAGGUAAU